GGGUGUGUAGCUCAGUGGUAGAGCAUUCGCUGAGUAAGCACGAGCCCUGGGUUCAAUCCCCAGUGCCACCU
rnacentral:tRNA from 1 species